rnacentral:tRNA from 1 species
UUAAUACCAUUUUGGCAGAAUCAUUAUUGCAAAAGACUUAGAAUCUUUAAAUCCUUAA